rnacentral:tRNA from 1 species
GCGGGCGUGGCGGAACUGGCAGACGCACUAGAUUCAGGUUCUAGCGGGAAACCGUAUGGGUUCAAAUCCCUUCGCCCGCA